rnacentral:tRNA from 1 species
GGAGAGGUGCAGGAGUGGCUGAUCUGGCACGCCUGGAAAGUGUGUGUACGGGAAACUGUACCGUGGGUUCGAAUCCCACCCUCUCCG